rfam:Myotis davidii contig162311, whole genome shotgun sequence.
GGCAGUUCUCAGGUGACACACCCAGGAAUCAAGCUCCCUCUUCUCUGGUUCCACGUGCAUCACCCGAGGACCACA